ACCCAACAGCUAGCCCGACCUCCUAAAGCAAAUUACCAACAUCAAUAAACCCAUAAGCACUAAACUAAGAAAACAAACCAUUUUUCCCUCUCAGUAUGGGAGACAGAAAAGAGACUAGGCGCAAUAAAGAAAGUACCGCAAGGGAAAGCUGAAAGAGAAAUGAAAUAAACCAGUUUAAAGUAUAAAAAAGCAGAGUCCAGCCCUCG
rnacentral:rRNA from 1 species